GAUCAAUUAAUUUACUACAUGAUUAAACACACAUGUCAUUGAUUAAGUGUGUACACGUUCUCGAGGAAAAGUGUCAAUUCACCAAGUGAAAACACUUUCUUUUCGAUGACAAAAAAAACCGAACCCAAAAACAAAUCAAUUUCAAAAUUGACUAUUUUUAGUACCAAAAGAAUAGAAGAACGGAAAAUACAAUGAAAAAUUGCCGACAAAAAACGUUGUGUCACCCGCCGUGAUUAAGUGUUAAAAUCGUUUAAAUACGUAUUUGAUUUUCUUCUUUUCAAAAUGUUUUAGUUUUGUUUUAUUUUUCUAAAAUUGUUCCCCCACAUCAAAUUCUCUGGGGGACAUCUGUUGUUUUGCGUAUUAGAAAGAUUUAGAUGCCACCGAGUUGAAAGGCAUUUAUUAUAUGCAUCAUUAAAAAAAAGGAAAAAAAAAAACAAAAAAAUAAAGUAGAAGAAAAAAAUCGAAAAAGAAAAAAAGUUGUGAAAUUUUCAAAAUUUCACCGCAUCAUUCUUAUUUUGUUUUUGGUUUUUCAUUUGAGUGAAACGAAAUUUUGUUUAUGCAUUCUGGUUGAAAUAAAGAUCAUAAAAUGAAAAAAGAAAAUAAAAUACAUUCGUCACGAGCAUAUAGCACCAGAGUGAUUUGCAUGACAUAUGUAAAACAAAGGCCAAACACCCACUCAUAAGUGCAUAGAAAAGUCUUAAAAAAUGUCUUAUUAGAAAAGAAGACAGAAAACGGCAUUUAAAUCAAAAUGGGGCAACUCUGUGAGUUUGUAUAUAAAACAAUGUUCCAACAGGCAGCCCUAUUUAUAUGUACACUAUUAUCGGCACCCUUUUAUCGACCACACUGAAUAGCCCUUCGCCAAGCCAUCAACCAUCAUCUAAACGACACUGCCUUAUCAUAUGCCGAUAACAAUAUUAGUUUGAGUACUAAAAAUCGAUAUAUUUGGCAAAUCAUCGGGGGAGUUUAAUAAUGCCGGCUCACAUGGAUUCUCGUAGCUGCUCACACAUACGCACACGAACACUUGCAUUGCAUCAAACGUCAACCAGCAAUUCCCUUUCGCAUCCUUUGACACACAGUAUUGUGAUUUUGGACAAAACAAAAACCGCUAAUGAAACAUCACUGAAAACUGAUUGUUGUGCUCUCUCUCUCUCUCUACCAUCUAAUACCCAACUAAUCAACCAUAAAUCUACCAAUCAACAAAUCGAUAAUAUUUUAUUGACAAAUUACUAUUGUAUAUAAUAAUAUUGGUAAUGUAAACAUUUAAUAAAAAAAAUUGACAUUGUAUUUACAAGAAUUUUUUAAUACUUAUUUGGUUUUAUUAAUCUGGAAUUAUUAAUGCUGCUUUUUCACAUAAUUUAAAAAAAGUAUAGAAGUUUUGUAAAGUUUUUUAGACACUUUUAAACCCCCUCAACAUU